CUACCCUUGACAUGUCUGGAAUCCUGAAGAGAUUUGGGAGUGCUCGAAAGAGAGCCAGAACACAGGUGCUGCAUGGCCGUCGUCAGCUCGUGUCGUGAGAUGUUGGGUUAAGUCCCGCAACGAGCGCAACCCUUGUCAUUAGUUGCUACGAAAGGGCACUCUAAUGAGACUGCCGGUGACAAACCGGAGGAAGGUGGGGAUGACGUCAGGUCAUCAUGGCCCUUAUGGGUAGGGCUACACACGUCAUACAAUGGCCGGUACAGAGGGCUGCCAACCCGCGAGGGGGAGCCAAUCCCAGAAAACCGGUCGUAGUCCGGAUCGUAGUCUGCAACUCGACUGCGUGAAGUCGGAAUCGCUAGUAAUCGCGGAUCAGCUUGCCGCGGUGAAUACGUUCCC
rnacentral:rRNA from 1 species